rnacentral:rRNA from 1 species
UACGUAGGUGGCAAGCGUUGUCCGGAUUUACUGGGCGUAAAGGGCGUGCAGGCGGUUUGUUAAGUGCAGAGUGAAAGCUCCCGGCUCAACUGGGAGAGGUCUUUGCAUACUGGCAAACUCGAGGGAGGCAGAGGAAAGUGGAAUUCCCGGUGUAGUGGUGAUAUGCGUAGAUAUCGGGAGGAACACCAGUGGCGAAGGCGGCUCACUGGACCGGAACUGACGCUGAGGCGCGAAAGCGUGGGGAGCAAACAGG